UACGGAGGGAGCUAGCGUUGUUCGGAAAUACUGGGCGUAAAGCGCACGUAGGCGGCGCAGCAAGUCAGGGGUGAAAUCCCGGGGCUCAACCCCGGAACUGCCCUUGAAACUGCAGUGCUAGAAUUCUGGAGAGGCGAGUGGAAUUCCGAGUGUAGAGGUGAAAUUCGUAGAUAUUCGGAAGAACACCAGUGGCGAAGGCGACUCGCUGGACAGACAUUGACGCUGAGGAGCGAAAGCCAGGGGAGCAAAGCAGG
rnacentral:rRNA from 1 species